GAGCGGGGGAGGGGCGGCAGAGGAAGGGGGGCUCCGAGAGGCCUGGGAUUUCAAACCAGUGGGGGAGGAGCGAGGGCACCCUAGUCGCUGACCGGACCGGGAAGGGCCCUCCGGGGUUGCAGAUGCCGGCCCAGGAGAGCGCCUGGGGACCGGGGACCGGGAACUGGAGAUCUACUCCCCGACCACCAAGCGGAAGUGAGGUUCCCCCCCCUCACCUCGGAGCAUCGGCUCCGGCCGCGGGAUCACGGCCACCACCACGGCCUCCUCGUCGUCGUCGUCCCCUUCCUCACACUUGAGCGUCACCUCGAAGCAAUCCAGCGCCGCGGCGCCUUCGGCUCUCAGGGCCAUGGCGAGGCGAAGAAGGGCGACCCGAUAGCCGAGGACAAGCGCACAGACCUCGGCGCGCCGCCUGUGGCGGCCG
rnacentral:lncRNA from 1 species